rnacentral:rRNA from 1 species
UGGGGAAUUUUGCGCAAUGGGGGAAACCCUGACGCAGCAACGCCGCGUGGAGGAUGAAGCCCCUUGGGGCGUAAACUCCUUUCGACCGAGACGUGGCCCCUGGGUUAAUAGCCCGGGGGAGUGACGGUACCGAGAGAAGAAGCCCCGGCUAACUCC